UGCAGUCGAGCGAACUGAUUAGAAGCUUGCUUCUAUGACGUUAGCGGCGGACGGGUGAGUAACACGUGGGCAACCUGCCUGUAAGACUGGGAUAACUUCGGGAAACCGAAGCUAAUACCGGAUAGGAUCUUCUCCUUCAUGGGAGAUGAUUGAAAGAUGGUUUCGGCUAUCACUUACAGAUGGGCCCGCGGUGCAUUAGCUAGUUGGUGAGGUAACGGCUCACCAAGGCAACGAUGCAUAGCCGACCUGAGAGGGUGAUCGGCCACACUGGGACUGAGACACGGCCCAGACUCCUACGGGAGGCAGCAGUAGGGAAUCUUCCGCAAUGGACGAAAGUCUGACGGAGCAACGCCGCGUGAGUGAUGAAGGCUUUCGGGUCGUAAAACUCUGUUGUUAGGGAAGAACAAGUACGAGAGUAACUGCUCGUACCUUGACGGUACCUAACCAGAAAGCCACGGCUAACUACGUGCCAGCAGCCGCGGUAAUACGUAGGUGGCAAGCGUUAUCCGGAAUUAUUGGGCGUAAAGCGCGCGCAGGCGGUUUCUUAAGUCUGAUGUGAAAGCCCACGGCUCAACCGUGGAGGGUCAUUGGAAACUGGGGAACUUGAGUGCAGAAGAGAAAAGCGGAAUUCCACGUGUAGCGGUGAAAUGCGUAGAGAUGUGGAGGAACACCAGUGGCGAAGGCGGCUUUUUGGUCUGUAACUGACGCUGAGGCGCGAAAGCGUGGGGGAGCAAACAGGAUUAGAUACCCUGGUAGUCCACGCCGUAAACGAUGAGUGCUAAGUGUUAGAGGGUUUCCGCCCCUUUAGUGCUGCACCUAACCCAUUAUUCACUCCGCCCUGGGGAGUACGGUCGCAGGACUGAAUCUCACAGGAAUUGACGGGGGCCCGCCC
rnacentral:rRNA from 2 species